CCUGGCGAUGAUGACACACUUGCCCUCACUGAGAACACUGUUCGGUAAUGAGCCCCUCGCGCUCAGAUGAGCUGAGCCAGA